UACGGAGGGGGCGAGCGUUGUCCGAAGUUACUGGGCGUAAAGCGCGUGUAGGCGGGUUGCCAAGUCCGCUGUGAAAGCCCGAGGCUCAACCUCGGAGGGUCGGUGGAUACUGGCAGUCUUGAAGUUGCUAGGGGGAGAUGGAAUUACCGGUGUAGCGGUGAAAUGCGUAGAUAUCGGAAGGAACACCAGUGGCGAAAGCGGCUUCCUGGUCCAGCACCGACGUUCAGGCACGAAAGCGUGGGGAGCAAACAGG
rnacentral:rRNA from 1 species